UGGGAAAGAAUGCCUGAAUGACAAUCCAUAUGCAGAGGAUUUGAGGGCAUUACAUGAGUGUCCAGGAGGAGUGUCUAAGCUAGAGAAGGGCAUGUGCAAUUCAGACCUGGGUUUUUGCUAAAGGACAGGACCUGGAAUAUGGAGGCGGCUCUUUGGCACCCUUCACUGGUUGGACCUUGUCUGACAUGCUGGGUUGGGUUUUGACAAGAGGAGGGCUUCCAGUGGCAAGCACCCUUAGCUCACCACCCCACCCUGGGCCUGGUGUCCCUAGAUCCAGAGCUAAUCUGGAGUGAGGCAUAAUGGUGCACAUCUAGCAGUAUACGUCGCCAGCCUCCCUCAUCUUCUUCUGGGAAACCACCCCUCCAUCAUGCUCUGCCUUACACUGUUAGACAUCCACCUCUUUCCAGACAUGGGCACAUGACCCAAUUCUGGGAUUUUUUUUUUAUUAGAAUUCUUAGGAAACAUUAGUUCAUUUUCAGCUGAGUUUGAAGCUGGGAGGAUGUGAAUGAACACUGCCGGAAACUACCACUUGGAAGCAUCUGCUUGAGAAGAACAUCAACUUAGAGCUGAGAAGUAAAGUCACCUGGGUCCAACAGUUCCUGAAGCAGGAGUGUCCCUCCUUCUUAUUUUGCAGUUAUAAGAACCUUUGUGCUUAAGACAAGAUAAGUUGGGUGUCUGCCAUUCCAAGCAAAGGAAUCCUCGUAAUACAGACAAGGGAUAGGUCAAUAGCUUUGGCCCUACCUUCUGUUGAAGAAUUAAAUAACGAUUCUUGACUCAACUCCUCCAGCUUCCUCCCCGAGCCUCCCACGUGUCAGUCAUACCCAGGACCAAGUUUCCCUGGACAUGGUGCUUGGGAAAUUAAGUGACUUCCAGUUGCAGUGACCCCAUCCUUCUUCCAUUACCCCAGUUAGUAUUUCUGGGCUUUUUCUUUGAUUCUGGUUCUGUGACCUAGACUCCCAGAUUGUUCUGGAUUCUCUGGUCUGGGACUCUAUUUGCCUGUUUGGACUUUCCAGAGUUGAACUUUACUUGGCCAGGGUUUCAAUUUACCAUAAACCUUGAGCAUUUGUUGCCUAGCCUGGAAGCGCCUCCCCACAGCCAGGUCCAUUCUUUCUCCUGGGAAGAAGGAUCUUGAGUAACCAAGACUCUGAGAUCUACUCCUAAAGAUACUUCCUGACUCCAGUGUAAGUUAGAUGCACACCCAAAUGGAAACCCCAAAGGAGACCCAUCAGGUUGGCUAGGAAUCUGGAAACCAGGUCCUUAAAGUUAGAUGCAACGAAGUUGUGGCAUUUGGCCUGGAAAAGAAGUUAAAGGAGAGAUGUGAUAUCUUUCUGCUAGUGUUUAUAGGAGUGUCACGUAGGACUGGAACCAAUGUUGAAUGUCCCAGGGAAAUGAAUCUGGGGUCAUUGGAAGAACUACUUUGGAUUAUUGUUAUGUACUUGAGAAUUGACCUUUACUUCAGCAGGAACAUCUGUAACAUCCUGAUCAUCUCUCAAAUGCCAUUCUCUGUGUACAUGAGCAGACACUCAUGGAUGAAUUCCUGGGAAUGGCAUCUGGGAAGAGCAUGAAGAGGGUGAGGAGACCUUGGUGACCUUCGUGGAGAAAUGUCAUUGCCCAAAGCUGGAGCAAAUUCCUGGCCCUCAGGAAGCUGGGAAUAAGAAUCAUUGCCCAUGAUCCAAGCUUAAUUCUAGGGAGCCGAAGUAUUUCUUCACUGCGGGACAAAGGGGGGAGUCCCCCUGUGCUAAAUCAGGGGGCAGCUAUCUUCAUAAGGCUGGGGGAAUGGGGACCCGAGUUUAAUAAUGGUAAAUCUAUCAAAACCAAACGGACAUAGCCCAAAUCCUGUGGGCAAUAAACAUCCACAGGUGAAAUUUUAUGAGGUUUUAAAGGGAAUUUUAUGAGUUUUGAGGGAGCCUCAGUAUAAACUGAAACCAGCCAUGGAAAAACAAUAUACUGUGAGCUGUGGAAAGCAAUAUCUGAAAAUUCUGUCACUGUUACCAAACCAAAGAAACUGUUCAGGAGAAGGAUAAAGAUAUGCUAGAUUUCCUGUCUCUCCUCUGACUUCUGGUGAGGUAAGCUGUCUUACCAGCAAGAGUUUUAACUCUCUGAGAGAAAGGGCUAUUUAAGGUCUCCUAUGUUCUGUAUAGCACCUGGUACAAUGCAGGUGAGCAUACGUGCAUAUACAAACACACGCAAAAUAAUUCUAAGAUAAAGGCAAUAAUAUUUGUGAGUACUUCCACCUGGAGUCCCCACUGUCCUGGGGACUUUAUGUAUCAUAUGUAGGAAACUUGAACUCUGAAUGUUAAGAUUUCCCAAGGUCCCAUAGGGAAUAAAUAGCUGAAGUCUGAUUUUAAUCCAGGUCUGUCUGUCCCUAGAGCCCAUGGCCUUUCAACCACAACCAUGGUUGCCAGGCUUUUGGAUUUCAUCAACCAAUGCAGUUUCAAAACACUCCAGAGAACCCUGCUUGGGUUGCCAAUAUUUUAUGGACAGGCUCUUGUUAAGAAUUGAGAAAGUUAUAUUAAAAAUGGGCAAAAAGACAGGAUGUGAGCUCAGAAGGAAGAGAAAAAAUUGAGCAAUAUGAAAUACUCCAUGCCUUAAUGCUCACUCGUGUGUGUGUGUGUGUGUGUGUGUGUGUGUGUGUGUGUGUGUGUGUGUGUACCUGAAAAAACAUUGUCAUUAAUGGGCAUGACCUUGGCUCUUGGAACCAAAACUCUCUACCACACCUCACCUUCUUCACUCCUGUAUCACCUGGUACCAUGUCCCACACAAAGCAGGUGCUUAAGACUUGCUAUUGAAUGACUAAGAUUAUUGGCUCUUUUCGGUUGGAUCCUCUGCACAAACCUCAGUGGCGGCGUUCUUAGCAGGGCCCCAGACCUAAAUAAGGCACUUCAUCUCGUUUACCUUUGUGUUCGAGGCUUAAGAAAACCUGGACUUUGCCACCACUUCCUCGUCCAUCCCCUCUACAACAGCAAGAUUUCUCCUUUGGCAGUUUCUCUCCAUACAGCUUUGUUUCUUUUCACUAAAGAGAUUUCAUCACUGCCCUUCUGGCCUAGACUCUCACCCUCAGAGGUUCUCUAAGGAAUGGGGUCAGGGAGGCCCUUGCAACCCUAAGAGGUGAAUGGUCACUUCAGCCUGGGGAGUCUGUUGUGCGUGCCCUUAUCCGAGUUCUUCCGCUGAACGACCUUGGGAAAUUCUCUCCUCUUCUCUGGACCUCUGUUUUUUUAUGUACAAAAUGAGAGGGAUCAGGCCAAAACAUCUCAAAGGGUGCUUCGCUUCCAGUCUUGGCAACCUACCCCUCUCUUCCAUCUGGCUGAUUGCAGCUCCUUCCACAUCAGGGCUCCUUUUGUUUGAGAAAAUCUGGGAUUUGGGGAUGGAUUCAAUGACAAGUUGGCUCUUGAAGGAGGUUCUGUAAUAUGAUCGUGCAGCUGUUUAGUGAUUCUACAUGAGUGUACGAUCACUUCAGGGUGGAAUGUCAAAGUUUACCAGACAUUAUCUUGGACCAAUUCUCCUUUUUCCAUGAGACCAAAUCAUUAUCCUCAAAAGCAUUACUAAUUGUGCACAUCCACCAGAUGCUGGAAGGCCCUCGCUGGGAAGCAGAGGACCCACGCUGGGGGUCAGCCACCUCGCUUGGGUUUCUCUUGGGCUGGCCUUCCACUGGAGGGCCUGGCGGGAGGCCAGGCUGUGCCCUGGAAUAAAUGACUUGUCAAGUCACCAGCCAUAGCCUCAGGAAGUGCUCUCACAUCCUCCAGGCCUUUCAUUUAUCUUGCAGCUGUAAAACCAGCUCUCCUUAGAAGCCUACCUCACUGAGGGAAAGGUUCAGUUACAGGGCCCAAGUUUUAAAACAGAUUUUUUUUUUAAGACUUCCUUGCCCUUUAAUUUUAGAACAGUUACUCUCUGACACCCAUCAGAACAAGGCUAUUUGGAAGUCAUCUCGAAACAGAGGAGAAGAGGAGCGAGCAAGCCACUGAGCUGCCUGCUGGAUGGACUUUGGUUGCUUUUGCACAUACAGAUCAAAAGCCUCCUGAGCAGUUAACCCUCAGCAAGGGAGCGACUCCUACAAACAGAGAGGAUUUGGCAAAAGGGAGUGAGCCCUGCGUGCAAAUGCUUUGCCUUUAUCAGCACUGGAGAUUUCUAGUCGCCUCUAUAAAUAUCCUAAAGAUGAGCUUUGGCUCCACUCUGAAAACAGCCCUGGGACCUACAAGCCAUCUUAACCUGCAGGGGGUAAGGUUCCCCAGACUCGCAAGAUUAUGCAGUAACCCUUUCAGUCAAGAUCCCUGGAUGUGUGGAGGAGAUGCCCAGCUUUGUGUGAUCUCUUUCUCCUUGNGACUUCCCACCAUGGUGCAGUGGGUUAAGAAUCUGACUGCAGCAGCGUGGGUCGCAGCAGAGGCAUGGGUUCAAUCCCCAGCCUGGAUCAGUGGGUCAAAAGAUCCUGUGUUUAUGCCUGAGGAGUAGGUUACAGCUGCAGCUGGGAUUCAAUCCCUGGCCCGGAAACUUCCAUAUGCCUU
rnacentral:lncRNA from 1 species